rnacentral:rRNA from 1 species
UACGAAGGGGGCUAGCGUUGCUCGGAAUCACUGGGCGUAAAGGGUGCGUAGGCGGGUCUUUUAAGUCAGGGGUGAAAUCCUGGAGCUCAACUCCAGAACUGCCUUUGAUACUGAAGAUCUUGAGUUCGGGAGAGGUGAGUGGAACUGCGAGUGUAGAGGUGAAAUUCGUAGAUAUUCGCAAGAACACCAGUGGCGAAGGCGGCUCACUGGCCCGAUACUGACGCUGAGGCACGAAAGCGUGGAGAGCAAACAGG